rnacentral:rRNA from 1 species
GAACACGUGAAGAAUCUGCCCUCCACUUUGGGAUAACACCGGGAAACCGGUGCUAAUACCGAAUAUUGAAACAUAAGUGGCAUCACUGAGUUUUGAAAGAAUUUCGGUGGAGGAUGACUUCGCGGCCUAUCAGCUAGUUGGUGAGGUAAUGGCUCACCAAGGCAACGACGGGUAGCCGGCCUGAGAGGGCGACCGGCCACACUGGGACUGAGACACGGCCCAGACUCCUACGGGAGGCAGCAGUGGGGAAUAUUGGGCAAUGGAGGAAACUCUGACCCAUCGACGCCGCGUGCGGGAUGAAGGCCUUCGGGUUGUAAACCGCUUUCAGUAAGGAAGAAGCGAAAGUGACGGUACCUACAAAAGAAGCACCGGCUAACUAUGUGCCACCAGCCGCGGUAAUACAUAGGGUGCAGGCGUUGUCCGGAAUUAUUGGGCGUAAAGAGCUCGUAGGUCGUUUGUUACGUCGGAUGUGAAAACCUGAGGCUCAACCUCAGGCCUGCAUUCGAUACGGGCAAACUAGAGUUUGGUAGGGGAGACUGGAAUUCCUGGUGUAGCGGUGGAAUGCGC